UUUUACCAUCUUUGUGGUUUUCCCUGGAAAUAAACCUGUCAGAGCCAUCAAGGAGGAGUUCCACAGGAUUGCAGGAUUUCUCAGUGUGAUUGGCUGCAUAGAUGGAACACACAUCCCCAUCACAGCUCCCUCACAUAAUGAAGCUGAUUAUGUGAACAGGAAGUCCAUUCACAGCAUAAAUGUGCAGAUCAUAUGUGAUGCUGCAUACAUCAUUUCUAAUGUGGAGGCCAAGUGGUCUGGGUCUGUUCAUGACUGGAGGAUUUAUCAUGAGUCUAACCUGAGCAACAGACUGCAACGUGGUAAACAGCCUAAAGAUUUUCACAAUAUAAUUCACUUGUCUCCCUCCUUUAAUAUACUCUAAUGUAUCCACUAUACAUUACAGGAGAGUUUGAUGGCCUUCUGCUGGGUGACAGGGGUUACCAUGCCAACCCAGGCUGAUGACCUCAUACCCUGACCCUGAACCAGGCCCCCAACAGAACUUCAACCAGGCUCACUGCAGGAUGAGAGCCUGGGUGGAGAUGAUCAUAGACCUGCUGAAAGCCUGUUUCCAGUGUCUACAUCACCUCAGGGUGACUCCUGAGAGGCCUGUGAUAUUAUUGUGGCAUGUGUUGUUCUUCAUAAUAUUAGCACUAUUAGAGGAGAGCAACACUCUGCCCUACAAACUGAAGACCCAGAUGAUGACCUCAUCCACCUGCCAGCUGUCCAGGACAGCAGAGCAGUCAGAGACACCAUAUGCAAUAAUCACUGCAGAGUUUAAGUCUCCAUCAUCACCACCACAGCAGUCAAAUAAACACAUGAUACACAUUUCAUUUGGUCUUCUUUAUUUCCUACAAAUAAAAGAGCUGGUUUAGUUCAUGUUCCAGUAGUUAACAUAAUUCACCUGUGACCUGCAUCCACCUCUAACUUGUGCUCCAGUAUUUCAGUUUCCAGAUCUGCCUUCUUAAUCUGGUGGUCCAAGUAUUGCAUUUCUUUAUCUGUUUUUUGUAUUUUUCUCAGCAAGUGCAGUUUGUAAAUCUGUUUUACUGAUAACUGGGAAUACAUAGAGGACAUUAAAUUAUACAGUUGCACAUGAAUUCCACAGAAUGAACGUCUGGUGUUUACUGAACAUCCAUCUCACUGUGUCAGUCUGUGCAGUGGAAGUUGAGGAAGAAUCCUGCUGCUGUCCAGCCAUGCUCUGUUAAAAAGGAUGAGAAUGUGCAAUACUUCAGUGUAGGCUAAAUGUCACACUCUAUAUUCCACCAGAAUGUUCAGAAAUGUGAAUGGGAAGA